UUGUGCCCCCUCAAGAAUAACAAAAAUAAUAAUUAAUAAAAUUUCUGUUUAAUAAUGUUAUAUGGCUGGCGUGAGUCACGUGACCAUACCGUCACGUGACCAUUCCGUCUCUUCCUCACGCCAGAGCGCACAGCCGGUCACAACAAGCUGCAAGCAAGCACCCACAUUUUCUUCAUGGCCGAGCGAGUGGUGCAAAGCUUUUAGGACAUACAUAUUGAUUGGGAGAAACGGACUAACACCGACAUGCUUCGUAAGGACAGGAGGCGGAAGCAGCGACAGAAAGAGUAUGUGAGGCAGCUAAAGGCAGUGGGUCCCUCACCAGCUGGAUAAAAAAAAAGAGUACAGUCUGAGAUCAACACAGCCUUGCCCUCCAGCAUCAUCAGCAGCAGCAAGAGGAGCAACCCUGCAACAGCUACAUUGUGCCCCAUCAUCAGGUAAAAUAGGACAGCAAUAGAUCAGGAGGUGGAGCAGGUUGUCCAGUAAUCGGAACGUUCCAGGUUUGAUCCUGACUUCAAUCAGAGAUUGAUGCUGUUGAGUCCUUGGGCAAGACACUUAACCUGCUUUGCCUGCUGGUGGUGGUCGGAGGGACCGGUGGCGCCUGUGCUCAGCAGCUUCACCUCUGUCAGUGCGCUCCAGAGCAGCUAUGGCUACAUCAUAGCUCAUCACCAUCAGUGUGUUAAUGUGUGUGAAUGACUGAUUGUGUUGUAAUGUGCCUUGGGGGGUUGUAGAACCCUAAGAAGGCAUUAUACAAAUACAGAUCAUUUACCUAAACAAGUUACUUUUGCUUUACAUUGUCCUUAUGGUGUAUAUAAUGAUUCGCUUCCAUUUUGAAUUUCUAAUAAAUAUGAAUUGUUAUUCAGCCGGGUAUACUGUGGUUAUGUCAUGGUGUUUGAAAAUAUUAUUCUGUGUGCCCCUUUUUAAAUUUGAGCACCCGCCCCUUCAAAGGUCUCUGCACAGCCCUGCUCACGCUGGUGAGGAGAAACCAUUAGUUCUAGUAACACCUGGGCUCCCAAGGCCUGUUCUGACAGGAUGGAUAUUACGGGACCCUUAAGGAUUCCAGUUGGAUGAUUGGAGGAUUAUUUAGGAGGACUGGAAUGAACAAACUGAUUUCAGUGGUGAAGGGUUAAAGGUAUUGGCUCAGCAUUAAAAUUGUAGAAAUGCAAAAUAACUACACUUUACCAUCCAUAUAAACAUGUACUGGGCUCAGUUUUUUAUUUUGUUAAGGACUUUUGUCAUAAAUCAUUACAGAAAAUCCAAAUCCUCUCCUCCAGACAGUGAAGAACUGUGUUUCACAUACGUCACUCCAGCACGUAAAACAAGCUAGCUGCUGAUGCUAGUAAUGUGAAUCACUGUUAUUUGUUUACUUUCAUGCUCCUAAUUGUUACGUAAAAUUGAGUUUACAGCUGCAGCAAAAGGUAUGAGCCAUGUGUCUGUGUCCUACACGCGUUUUUAAAUAACAGGUCUGAUCUAAAAUAAUAACCUACAUCUUUAAAACCAUCUGGAACUGCACCGCUACUUCUGGACUCCAGACGAGUCCUGUUAGCAUGACUGCAGCAAAACUGCUAACUGUGUUCGCUCCGGUAAGGAAAGAACAAGUCCUUUGGGAAAGCUAUGACACACACACAAACACACACA